AGAGCGGUAGCCCGGAGAUGGGUACUGAGACAAGGACCCAGGCCCUACGGGGCGCAGCAGUCGCGAAAACUCCGCAAUGCACGAAAGUGUGACGGGGCUACCCCGAGUGCUCUCCGCUGAGGAAAGCUUUUCUCUGGUGUAACAAGCCAGGGGAAUAAGGAGAGGGCA
rnacentral:rRNA from 1 species